rnacentral:rRNA from 1 species
AACGCUGGCGGCGCGCCUAACACAUGCAAGUCGAACGAGAGAUGAAGAGCUUGCUCUUCAAAUCGAGUGGCGAACGGGUGAGUAACGCGUGAGGAACCUGCCUCAAAGAGGGGGACGAACAGUUGGAAACGACUGCUAAUACCGCAUAAGCCCACGGGUCGGCAUCGACCAGAGGGAAAAGGAGCAAUCCGCUUUGAGAUGGCCUCGCGUCCGAUUAGCUAGUUGGUGAGGUAAUGGCCCACCAAGGCGACGAUCGGUAGCCGGACUGAGAGGUUGAACGGCCACAUUGGGACUGAGACACGGCCCAGACUCCUACGGGAGGCAGCAGUGGGGAAUAUUGCACAAUGGGGGAAACCCUGAUGCAGCGACGCCGCGUGGAGGAAGAAGGUCUUCGGAUUGUAAACUCCUGUUGUUGAGGAAGAUAAUGACGGUACUCAACAAGGAAGUGACGGCUAACUACGUG